UUCGACGCAACGCGAAGAACCUUACCUGGGCUUGACAUGCGGGGUGAAACUGUGGAAACACGGCGCUCCUUCGGGAGCCCGCACAGGUGCUGCAUGGCUGUCGUCAGCUCGUGCCGUGAGGUGUUGGGUUAAGUCCCGCAACGAGCGCAACCCUCACCCUAUGUUGCCAACGGUUCGGCCGGGCACUCUUAGGGAACUGCCGGCGAAGAGCUGGAGGAAGGGGGGGAUGACGUCAAGUCCGUAUGCCCCUUAUGUCCAGGGCUACACACAUGCUACAAUGGUCGGUACAGAGGGUUGCCAACCCGCAAGGGGGAGCCAAUCCCAGAAAGCCGAUCUCAGUUCGGAUUGUAGGCUGCAACUCGCCUACAUGAAGUAGGAAUCGCUAGUAAGCGCAGAUC
rnacentral:rRNA from 1 species